rnacentral:rRNA from 1 species
GACGAACGCUGGCGGCGUGCUUAACACAUGCAAGUCGAACGGAGUGGCGAACGGGUGAGUAACACGUGGGUGAUCUGCCUUGCACUUCGGGAUAAGCUUGGGAAACUGGGUCUAAUACCGGAUAGUGCAAGAUGAGCUCGCGGCCUAUCAGAUUGUUGGUGGGGUAAUGGCCGACCAAGGCGUCGACGGGUAGCCGGCCUGGGAGGGUGUACGGGCACAGGGGGACUGGGUGACGGCCCAGACGCCUUCGGGGGGCAGCAGGGGGUAAUAUUGCACAAUGGGCGGAAGCCUGAUUCAGCGACGCCGGGUGUGGGAUGAAGGCCUUCGGGUUGUAAACUCCUUUCGACAGGGACGCGGUACCUGUAUAAGAAGCACCGGCUAACUACGUGCCAGCAGCCGCGGUAAUAC